rnacentral:rRNA from 1 species
UACGGAGGGGGCGAGCGUUAUUCGGAAUUAUUGGGCGUAAAGGGCGCGUAGGCGGCCCGGUAAGUCAAAGGUGAAAUCCCUCGGCUCAACUGAGGAACUGCCUUUGAAGCUGUCGGGCUUGAGGCCGGGAGGGGGUAGCGGAAUUCCCAGUGUAGCGGUGAAAUGCGUAGAUAUUGGGAGGAACACCGGUGGCGAAGGCGGCUACCUGGACCGGUUCUGACGCUGAUGCGCGAAAGCGUGGGUAGCAGACAGG